CCAACCACCUAGUCAGUCCAAAUGAGAGAACCUGGAUACCUCUGUUGACGAUGCAGGAUUCACUUGCCAUUUUGUUCUUCUCUUCGUGGGAACCUCCGACGACAGCUGUUUCUAGGGUCUUUCAAGUUGUCAAACUCUCUCUAUAUAAAUAAGACUGCAUAAUCCAGACCCUCCGGAAUCCAGAGAUGAAUUGCAUGUGGUAGCUGAUGUGUGGGAAGCCCACAGAGCAGCACUUCUGGUCAUUGCCAUCCAGCUAGCUGGUGCUCUCAGAAGAAUGAGAUGAAGAGGCAUGACUUUCAAGCUUCCUCUGCCAUACAAGAGGCCUUCCCUGUGACUUCCCUUCAGCAUCAGCAAUAGCGUUCAAGAAACUGGCAUUGCUCACUCUGAAGAGCUGCGGGAAAAAGAGGUAAAGAAGUGAGAACUUCUCCAAAGCUGUUCCAGGGGAGAGGGCUGCAGAUUGGAAGUCCUGCAUAAGCUGACAUCUGUGCUGAGAAUGAAGGUUGUUCCAGAAAUUGAGAAGAAGAGAGAAAAAAGAAAAUAUUUCUGGUACCAUCACCAGAUAGUUCUCAAAUAGGUACACAAGUUACCCUAAAACAUAUAAAAAGGUGGUCAACUUACUCAUAUUAAGAUAAAUGCAAAUUAAAGCUACACUGAGACUUCUGGUUCCAGGAAAAAAAUAGGAUUUUUUUCAUUGCACACUUCCAGUAAUGGGGGGGACAUGGCAUUUCUCCCUAAGUACAGCUGAAAACCCUGGACACUAUAUAUAAAACAAACAUGAGAAGAUUUUGAACAUCAGAGAGAAGGAGGCAUUCCAGGACCUGGGCAUGACAUGACAGUGAGUUUCCUGCUUUUUUUUUUUUUUCCCCUCAUAUAUUCCACCGAGAGUGAAGAACCUGGCAAUGUGGAAAGGCCAAUAGGUACAGGAAAAAAGGAAAUUUCCACAAAAGUCUACUUUCUUCAGCCAAAGGACCCGGAAAGGAACAGCCACAUUGAGACAAAACUAUUGAACAACAGUCACUCAAUUUUAGUCAAACAUCACAGAAAGAACUAUGGCCUCAGCCCCAUUCCAGCCAACAAAGACUGAGUGGGGAGCCUAGACUUCCAUCCUCAUCACACUGAAACCAAGCACCACAAGAGUGGUGUCGCAGAAGGCCAAGUGAUGAGCUGGGAUUUUCAACUCCCUCUCCCCAGCAGUAAAGAGGCUGCCAUCAUGCUGUGUCACCAGAGGGCACAUGGAGCCCAUUGGUAACAAGAAGCCCCAUCCCUCUUGCUACAGUGGUGUCAGAGGACACUUAGUGGAAUCUAUAUUUUCACCAUCAUCCAUUGGUGACAAAGCUACCCCCAAUGGUGUCAGGGGAGACCAUACAGGGAAGCAGAAUUUCUACCUCCGAACAGCAGUAAUAAGGUGUCCUUCCCACUCCCUGCUUGAGUGGUAUUAUUGAAGGUAUCUCCUGCUGGCAGAAAUCAACCCUGCCCCCCUAUGCAGUAUCAGUGGAGGCCCUGUGAAGGGUAGUAAUGAGGUGUCUUUACCCAUCUGGACCAGGGAUGUAUCAGUGGAAGCCUGGUGGGGAGUCUGAAUGAAUUUCUACCUCCGCCCAGCAGUAAUAAGAAUCCCUGAGUGUCAACAGAGGCCCAGUGGAGAACCUAGAAUUCCAUCCUCAACUAGCAGCAAUGAAGCAGCACUCCUAUUCUCAGUCAAGCUGGAACUCUAUUAAAUACGCUUGUUGGUGGUAAUGGUAUUUAUAGGGGUGACAGCUCCAAAACUACUUUUUGUGUAUUAUGGAAAUGAGCAAAGAAUAAAUUCAUUAA